rnacentral:rRNA from 1 species
AUUGAACGCUGGCGGCAGGCCUAACACAUGCAAGUCGAGCGAGUGGCGGACGGGUGAGUAAUGUAUGGGAAUCUGCCCGAUGGAGGGGGAUAACUACUGGAAACGGUAGCUAAUACCGCAUACCAUCGGAUGUGCCCAGAUGGGAUUAGCUAGUAGGUGGGGUAAAGGCUCACCUAGGCGACGAUCGCUAGCUGGUCUGAGAGGAUGAUCAGCCACACUGGAACUGAGACACGGCCCAGACUCCUACGGGAGGCAGCAGUGGGGAAUAUUGCACAAUGGGCACAAGCCUGAUGCAGCCAUGCCGCGUGUAUGAAGAAGGCCUUCGGGUUGUAAAGUACUUUCAGCGGGGAGGCGUUACCCGCAGAAGAAGCACCGGCUAACUCCGUGCCAGCAGCCGCGGUAAUAC